GCUGACAUGGACGUUCUCCCCACUUUAAAGAAAUCGCGUUUGUGAUCAGUGAGCUGGAUAAAGUCGAGCUUUCUCAACAGCAAGCGGCAGCGUAUAAGGAGGCUACACACAAAGACAUCCAGUAACAUACGGUUUCCCAGACAGAAAGUGAGCGGAUCAAGAUUCUGUCCUAGACAUCUGGAUUCUAGAGCCAGGAAGCCGUCGGGUGAAGCGAAGAGAUCUCUAGGUAAUGAAUGCAGCAGAGUGGCCGUUACCUGGAGUUAAAGUAUGCAAGAUACAGUC